UCCGGUUCCUUCCCCCUGAGACUCGGUGGGAAGGGUCUGUGUAGGUUACUUAGCUCCAAAUGGGUGACAAGCACUGAGAAGGACUCUUCUGAUUCCUCCUACAAGCCUGUGAGCGGCACAUAUUGAUCCUCAUUUUACAGAUGGGAAGACUGAGGCUCAGAGAAGGCUCCUGCAGGCUACACAGCGAGUCUACAGCCUGAUCCAGGCAACCUCAGGAUCUGGUCCCAGGCGUGGGGAGAACUAUCCUUAGGAAUGUUGUCCUGUCGUAAACCUAAGAGGCUCCGGUCGCCCUCAAGUGAAGGGACCAAAGCUGACAGACAAGAGGUUGCUCUCUGAAGUCACACACGAAGACAUGUCAGAGGCAGGGCUUGACCCAGGUGCACUGAGGCCUAAGCUCUCACCGGUCCUGACCUUGGAUCCCAGAAGAUGUUGUGAGGAUGGGGAGGAGAGGAUGCAGAACAGGCCUGUCUGGGGUUGGGAAAGGAAACUCAGGUGUCUGGUCACCACCUAUACAGUUGGAGGGUACCUGGAGGUUCAUGCCAAUUUUCUGUGACUGGGUGUGGGAUGAAGCUCCAGAGAGCUUAAGUAAUAUUCCCCAGGUCACAUUCCCAGUGCUGCCAAGCUGGAACACAACCAACAUUUCCUGAGCACCUACUGAAUGUCAGGAAGGGAAAAGGCACACGCUAUACAGGUACAAGAGAGGAGUAUGUAUCUUUCAGCUCCUGUAUUGGGCAGUUUUGUGACUUGCUUUGGCCAAUGAGACGAGACUGGAAGUGGCACAUAACUUCCUGCUGGAAAUCCUUAGGAGCUGGUGCCUGAUUUGCCGCGUCCCUUUCCUGUCUGGCCACCCGAGGGUCUAGGUGGUGGAAGCUCCAUCAUGCUGGGCUGCUGAGUGAGGGUGAUGAGAAACACAGCAGCAUGGGAAAUCUGAAGGGCAGAGAAAGAUCCGCCAAGUGUUGACAGCAAAAGCCCGGACCCCUCCCCGCUCCCCACAACACAUACACAACUUAUUGAAAUAAAAAUAUAAUAA